UACGAAGGGGGCUAGCGUUGCUCGGAAUCACUGGGCGUAAAGGGCGCGUAGGCGGCCUUCUAAGUCGAACGUGAAAUCCCUGGGCUCAACCCAGGAACUGCGUCCGAUACUGGAAGGCUUGAAUCCGGGAGAGGGAUGCGGAAUUCCAGGUGUAGCGGUGAAAUUCGAUAGAUAUUGGGAAGAACACCGAUGGCGAAGGCGGCAUCCUGGACCGGCAUUGACGCUGAACAGCGAAAGCUAGGGGAGCAAACGGG
rnacentral:rRNA from 1 species